GAUGAACGCUGGCGACGUGCCUAAUACAUGCAAGUCGAGCGAACAGAUAAGGAGCUUGCUCCUUUGACGUUAGCGGCGGACGGGUGAGUAACACGUGGGUAACCUACCUAUAAGACUGGGAUAACUUCGGGAAACCGGAGCUAAUACCGGAUAAUAUUUCGAACCGCAUGGUUCGAUAGUGAAAGAUGGUUUUGCUAUCACUUAUAGAUGGACCCGCGCCGUAUUAGCUAGUUGGUAAGGUAACGGCUUACCAAGGCGACGAUACGUAGCCGACCUGAGAGGGUGAUCGGCCACACUGGAACUGAGACACGGUCCAGACUCCUACGGGAGGCAGCAGUAGGGAAUCUUCCGCAAUGGGCGAAAGCCUGACGGAGCAACGCCGCGUGAGUGAUGAAGGUCUUCGGAUCGUAAAACUCUGUUAUUAGGGAAGAACAUACGUGUAAGUAACUGUGCACGUCUUGACGGUACCUAAUCAGAAAGCCACGGCUAACUAGGUG
rnacentral:rRNA from 1 species